rnacentral:piRNA from 1 species
UCCAGGAAGUCAUUAGUGUAGCCACAAUC